rfam:Cavia porcellus supercont2_3 genomic scaffold, whole genome shotgun sequence.
CUGGUCCUGAAAUCAUGGCUGACAGCUUCCUGACGCUGUUGGUUUCAAGCAGGAGUCUAAAGAGACAUCUUUCUAUGGUCUAUUGGCCAUUUCAGAAAGUGGGCAGUGAAAUAGUCAAUUCAUUAGAAAGAAACAGCU